CAAUAGCGUAUAUUUAAGUUGCUGCAGUUAAAAAGCUCGUAGUUGGAUUUCGGGUGGGAAUGGCCGGUCCGCCGUUUCGGUGUGCACUUGCUACGCCCACCUUGCUGCCGGGGACGUGCUCUUGAGUUCACGCUCGGGACACGGAGUCGGCGAGGUUACUUUGGGUAAAUUAGAGUGUUCAAAGCAGGCCUACGCUCUGAAUACAUUAGCAUGGAAUAACACGAUAGGACUCUGGCCUAUCUUGUUGGUCUGUAGGACCGGAGUAAUGAUUAAGAGGGACAGUCGGGGGCAUUCGUAUUUCAUUGUCAGAGGUGAAAUUCUUGGAUUUAUGAAAGACGAACUACUGCGAAAGCAUUUGCCAAGGAUGUUUUCAUUAA
rnacentral:rRNA from 1 species